rnacentral:rRNA from 1 species
GACGAACGCUGGCGGCGUGCUUAACACAUGCAAGUCGAACGGAAAGGCCCUGCUUUUGUGGGGUGCUCGAGUGGCGAACGGGUGAGUAACACGUGAGUAACCUGCCCUUGACUUUGGGAUAACUUCAGGAAACUGGGGCUAAUACCGGAUAGGAGCUCCUGCUGCAUGGUGGGGGUUGGAAAGUUUCGGCGGUUGGGGAUGGACUCGCGGCUUAUCAGCUUGUUGGUGGGGUAGUGGCUUACCAAGGCUUUGACGGGUAGCCGGCCUGAGAGGGUGACCGGCCAGAUUGGGACUGAGAUACGGCCCAGACUCCGACGGGAGGCAGCAGUGGGGAAUAUUGCACAAUGGGCGGAAGCCUGAUGCAGCAACGCCGCGUGCGGGAUGACGGCCUUCGGGUUGUAAACCGCUUUCGCCGGUGACGAAGCGUGAGUGACGGUAAUGGGUAAAGAAGCACCGGCUAACUACGUG